UACAGGAUGCCAGUGUCAGAGUUGAUGGAGAUGUAAGAGGACAGGGGUGCAUCCUGAAGAGUGUCUUCAGUCAAAGAAUGUCGACUCAAGCUCAAAUAUCUCUGAGGUUUCUCCAGGAUUUUUCUCUUUAAAAUAUGCGACUUGGGCAUUGUAUCCCUCAUCUGUGUCAGUGGCGGUGACUGACAGUCACGUGGAUGCGGGAGGUGCCAGAUCGGACCGGGCUGCCCCCAUCCAAAGCCACAAGGACGAGGUGGUGAACAGCCUUCUCUUCGCGGUCCAGGGCGAGCUCCAGCACCAGCUCAGGGAGUAUGUUAAAAUUCACCAGGCACUGCGCGCUCUGAGCACAGAGCGCCUCUCGGUCUAUCCUGCCUGCGGUAACCAAACUGCCGCUUCGCGGGUUCAGAGCAAAGAGCUGCGUCCUACCUCUGGAGACGAUGCGGACUCCACGCUCUGCCAGUGUCAGGGGCUCCAGCCCCAGGUCCUUGGCGAUGUCGCCCACGAAGGAGCCUUUGUCAAUCUCUUCUGGCACAGAAUAGUGCAUCUGUCCAGCUCCGGCCUCCCACAAAACCACCAAAAGAAAAUACAGCCGAUCAAGCCUUC